CGGUGUUCAACUGGCGUGUCCGCGGGACGUCCUGCCGGUGGGCUUAGCCCGCAAGGGCGGCCCAACUUCAAAUCCCAUCGCGGUGCUCUUCACUGAGUGUCGAGGUGGGCCGGCACGUUUACUUUGAACAAAUUAGAGUGCUUAAAGCAGGGCUAAAACUUCGCCUGAAUACUGUGUGCAUGGAAUAAUGGAAUAGGACCUCGGUUCUAUUUUGUUGGUUUUCGGAACCCCGAGGUAAUGAUUAAUAGGAACGGAUGGGGGCAUUCGUAUUGCGACGUUAGAGGUGAAAUUCUUGGAUCGUCGCAAGACGGACAGAAGCGAAAGCAUUUGCCAAAAACGCUUUCAUUGAUCAAGAACGAAAGUUAGAGGUUCGAAGGCGAUCAGAUACCGCCCUAGUUCUAACCAUAAACGAUGCCAGCUAGCGAUCCGUCGACGUUCCUCCGAUGACUCGACGGGCAGCUUCCGGGAAACCAAAGCUUUUGGGUUCCGGGGGAAGUAUGGUUGCAAAGCUGAAACUUAAAGGAAUUGACGGAAGGGCACCACCAGGAGUGGAGCCUGCGGCUUAAUUUGACUCAACACGGGAAACCUCACCAGGCCCGGACACCGGAAGGAUUGACAGAUUGAGAGCUCUUUCUUGAUUCGGUGGGUGGUGGUGCAUGGGCCGUUCUUAGUUGGUGGAGCGAUUUGUCUGGUUAAUUCCGAUAACGAACGAGACUCUAGCCUGCUAACUAGGCGUAUUUUCGACAUCUCAAAGGUCCGUCGUCCCGGCCCUCGGGUCGUGGGCGUGCGCGAUUUUUACUGUCGGCGUACUAUCAAUUCUUCUUAGAGGGACAGGUGGCUUCUAGCCGCACGAGAUUGAGCAAUAACAGGUCUGUGAUG
rnacentral:rRNA from 1 species